UGUUAUUUCACGGCAGAGUAAACUGCUGCGUGGUUCUGAAAGCAGGCGCAACGGUGCUCAAAGACAGAUGGGUUGAAGAGGAACGGAGCGAUGGACUGAAUGUGGCAGACAGCCAGAGGAGAGACAAUGCAUUUUAAUGGUCGUGGGAAUGCUGGAGCCUAUGCCAGCUUCUUGGGCCACAGACGGGGAACACCCUGGACACCCUGGCCAGUCCAUCUCGGGACUCACAUGCACAGACACCUAAGGGCAAUUUAUUUUGUCCAAUGCAUGUCUUUGGAUUGUGGGGAAAAAACAGCAUGCGGAAAAACCCCACUCCAACACAAAUGGAGAACAUGCAAACUCCACACAGCCAUGCACUUCCAUUCAAACGAUUGUGGCAGGACAUGUGGGUUUGCUGGACACAUGAUGGUGGAAUAUGUGACCCCAGAAGGAUUACUUUAGCUAAGGAGAUUCAGUAUGGCGAUGACGCAGAACUGAAAGGAAUUUGUUAAGAAGCUUUCAUUCUAGAGAUGGAC